rnacentral:rRNA from 1 species
UACAGAGGGUGCAAGCGUUGUUCGGAAUUAUUGGGCGUAAAGAGCGUGUAGGCGGCCUGAAAGGUCAGCUGUGAAAACUCGAGGCUCAACCUCGAGACGUCGGUUGAAACCAUCUGGCUAGAGUCCGGAAGAGGAGUGUGGAAUUCCUGGUGUAGCGGUGGAAUGCGCAGAUAUCAGGAGGAACACCGGUGGCGAAGGCGGGUCUCUGGGCCAUUACUGACGCUGAGGAGCGAAAGCGUGGGGAGCGAACAGG